AGGGAUGUGGCUCAGUGGUAGAGUAGUUGCUAAGCAUGCUCAGAAACCUGGGUUCAAUUCCCAGCAUUUCCC
rnacentral:tRNA from 1 species